ensembl:lncRNA LINC01924 long intergenic non-protein coding RNA 1924
AGAAAGAAAGAUUCUAUCCUCAUAGUGUUGAGUCUUUUGCAAGGACCUAUGGAUAUAGGUGGUACCUACAUGGGAACACAUUGUCUAAUACCACCCAGAAUGGGUAGCAAAGUUCAUAGUGAAGUUUCCACUGUGAGCGGCAGGUGGCGGGCUCUUCUGAGAAAGAAGCUUCUAGAUGCAUAUUGUGGGGAGCAGAUGAAACUCUGAGGCUUUCAGGGACGUGAGGUACGGUGCCAAGGCCACACCACUGGUUGCACAGAAUACAAAAAGUGGAAGGCUGAAUAAAAAACAAGCUCCUGUUCAAGUGACCUCACUGCUUUCUGAUGACCCCCACUGGCUAUGCCACAUUUCUGGUGCUGAAUGGAUGCACAACACGUCCGUACUCAUCUGGGCUUCGAUGCAGUUGUUCAAUUUGAAAAGUAAAGCAGUACUUUAAUGGUCCCUUCAGUUCUCACACUCAGUGUUUCAAUAUUUGUCCUGUUCUACCUGGCUUGUAAUCAAUCCUAAAACUUCCUCACAUUUCCAGAUGAUGGAAUGAACAAUCCUGCGUAUGGCUUCCAAACUGAAAACUCAGAACUUAAGGCUCUGGUCUGAAGUGGCCACAGUUCAUCUCUGGCCUUGACAAGCCAUUUGUUGGCCGUGGAACUCAUUACUUGAAAGAGAUUUGCUACAGCUCCCGUUAUGGUGCCUUUAGAAGAAAUAAAGAUCUCCUGCCUCACUUCCAA